CAACCCUCAGGCCCUGCCUGGCGUUGGAGGACUGCGCUGCAGCCUCCUAAAGCAAGCGGCGGCGGCGCCCCAAAACCGAACGCAGUAAUACAUCUCGUUCUGGGUCUGGGACGUUGUCCGGCCGGUAAAACCCCCUCUUUUACGUGG
rnacentral:misc_RNA from 1 species